ACUGAACGCUGGCGGCAGGCUUAACACAUGCAAGUCGAGCGGGGUGAUGGUGCUUGCACUAUCACUUAGCGGCGGACGGGUGAGUAAUGCUUAGGAAUCUGCCUAUUAGUGGGGGACAACAUCUCGAAAGGGAUGCUAAUGCCGCAUACGUCCUACGGGAGAAAGCAGGGGAUCACUUGUGACCUUGCGCUAAUAGAUGAGCCUAAGUCGGAUUAGCUAGUUGGUGGGGUAAAGGCCUACCAAGGCGACGAUCUGUAGCGGGUCUGAGAGGAUGAUCCGCCACACUGGGACUGAGACACGGCCCAGACUCCUACGGGAGGCAGCAGUGGGGAAUAUUGGACAAUGGGGGGAACCCUGAUCUAGCCAUGCCGCGUGUGUGAAGAAGGCCUUAUGGUUGUAAAGCACUUUAAGCGAGGAGGAGGCUCUUUUGGUUAAUACCCAAGAUGAGUGGACGUUACUCGCAGAAUAAGCACCGGCUAACUCUGUGCCAGCAGCCGCCGUAA
rnacentral:rRNA from 1 species